rnacentral:rRNA from 1 species
GUGCCAGCAGCCGCGGUAAUACGUAGGGUGCGAGCGUUGUCCGGAAUUAUUGGGCGUAAAGGGCUCGUAGGCGGUUUGUCGCGUCGGGAGUGAAAACCCAGGGCUUAACUCUGGGCUUGCUUUCGAUACGGGCAGACUAGAGGUAUGCAGGGGAGAACGGAAUUCCUGGUGUAGCGGUGAAAUGCGCAGAUAUCAGGAGGAACACCGGUGGCGAAGGCGGUUCUCUGGGCAUUACCUGACGCUGAGGAGCGAAAGUGUGGGGAGCGAACAGGAUUAGAUACCCUUGUAGUCC